rnacentral:rRNA from 1 species
GUGCUAAUCUGCGAUAAGCGCCGGUAAGGUGAUAUGAACCGUUAUAACCGGCGAUACCCGAAUGGGGAAACCCAGUGUGAUUCGUCACACUAUCAUUAACUGAAUCCAUAGGUUAAUGAGGCGAACCGGGGGAACUGAAACAUCUAAGUACCCCGAGGAAAAGAAAUCAACCGAGAUUCCCCCAGUAGCGGCGAGCGAACGGGGAGGAGCCCAGAGCCUGAAUCAGCAUGUGUGUUAGUGGAAGCGUCUGGAAAGGCGCGCGAUACAGGGUGACAGCCCCGUACACAAAAGCGCAUGUGCUGUGAGCUCGAUGAGUAGGGCGGGACACGUGGUAUCCUGUCUGAAUAUGGGGGGACCAUCCUCCAAGGCUAAAUACUCCUGACUGACCGAUAGUGAACCAGUACCGUGAGGGAAAGGCGAAAAGAACCCCGGCGAGGGGAGUGAAAAAGAACCUGAAACCGUGUACGUACAAGCAGUGGGAGCACAGGUUUACCUGUGUGACUGCGUACCUUUUGUAUAAUGGGUCAGCGACUUAUAUUCUGUAGCAAGGUUAACCGAAUAGGGGAGCCGGAGGGAAACCGAGUCUUAAUUGGGCGUUAAGUUGCAGGGUAUAGACCCGAAACCCGGUGAUCUAGCCAUGGGCAGGUUGAAGGUUGGGUAACACUAACUGGAGGACCGAACCGACUAAUGUUGAAAAAUUAGCGGAUGACCUGUGGCUGGGGGUGAAAGGCCAAUCAAACCGGGAGAUAGCUGGUUCUCCCCGAAAGCUAUUUAGGUAGCGCCUCGUGAAUUCAUCUCCGGGGGUAGAGCACUGUUUCGGCUAGGGGGCCAUCCCGGCUUACCAACCCGAUGCAAACUGCGAAUACCGGAGAAUGUUAUCACGGGAGACACACGGCGGGUGCUAACGUCCGUCGUGAAGAGGGAAACAACCCAGACCGCCAGCUAAGGUCCCAAAGUCAUGGUUAAGUGGGAAACGAUGUGGGAAGGCCCAGACAGCCAGGAUGUUGGCUUAGAAGCAGCCAUCAUUUAAAGAAAGCGUAAUAGCUCACUGGUCGAGUCGGCCUGCGCGGAAGAUGUAACGGGGCUAAACCAUGCACCGAAGCUGCGGCAGCGACACUGUGUGUUGUUGGGUAGGGGAGCGUUCUGUAAGCCUGUGAAGGUGUGUCGUGAGGC